rnacentral:rRNA from 1 species
UGGCGGCGUGCCUAAACAUGCAAGUCGAACGAGAAAGUCCGCAAGGAUGAGUAAAGUGGCGACCGGGUGAGUAACACGUGACUAACCUACCUUUUAGUGGGGGAUAACUCCGGGAAACCGGAGCUAAUACCGCAUAACAUCGCAAGAUCAAAGCAGCAAUGCGCUGGAAGAGGGGGUCGCGGCUGAUUAGCUAGUUGGCGGGGUAACGGCCCACCAAGGCGAAGAUCGGUAUCCGGCCUGAGAGGGCGCACGGACACACUGGAACUGAAACACGGUCCAGACUCCUACGGGAGGCAGCAGUGGGGAAUUUUGCGCAAUGGGGGAAACCCUGACGCAGCAACGCCGCGUGGAGGAUGAAGCCCCUUGGGGCGUAAACUCCUUUCGACCAAGACGAUAAUGACGGUACUGGUGGAAGAAGCACCGGCUAACUCUGUGCCAGCAGCCGCGGUAAUACAGAGGGUGCAAGCGUUGUUCGGAAUUGUUGGGCGUAAAGGGCGCGUANGCGGCGCGACAAGUCACUUGUGAAAUCUCCGGGCUUAACUCGGAGCCUGCAGGCGAAACUGUCGUGCUG